AAGGUGAAUAAUCUCCGAGCUUAUGCUCCUGUGGAUAUACAAAUCUAUGGAAAUUAAGCCGAUAGGGUGUAAAUGGAAACGUUUAUGCCUCCCAGGCGGAAAGGAGAAGGUGAUACAUAAAA
rnacentral:ncRNA from 1 species